rnacentral:tRNA from 1 species
GGGUAUAUAGCUCAUUGGGAGAGCACAUGCUUGGUAUGCACAAGGUCCUGGGUUCAAUGGCCAGUACCUCCA